ensembl:lncRNA
GUACUGCUGUAUUGCUGUAUUGCUGUAUUGCUGUAUUGCUGUAUUGCUGUUCUACAGUGCUGCUGUGCUGUUUGUGCUGCAGUGCAGCUGUGCUGCUCUACUGCUGUGUUGCAGUGCUGCUCAUGCUGCUGUACUGCUGUACUACGGUGCUGCUGUAUUACUGUACUGCAGUGCUGCUCUACUGCUGUGCUACUCGUGCUGCUGUGUUGCGGUGCUGCUGUGUAGCUGUGUUGCUGUACUGCUAUGCUGCAGUGCUGCAGUAUUGCCGUGCUGCUUGCGCUGCUUGUACUGCCUUACUGCUGUGCUGCUCGUGCUGCUGUUCUGCAGUACUGCUGUGUUGCAGUGCAGCUGUGCUGCUCAUGCUGCUCGUGCUGCUGUGCUACUCGUGCUGCAGUAUUGCAGUGCUGCAGUGCUACUCAUGCAGCUGUGUUGCUGUGCAGCUGUGCUGCUCAUGCUGCUCUGCUACUUGUGCUGCAGUACUGCAGUGCUGCAGGUGCUGCUGCACUGCUAUGCUGCAGUGCUGCACUGUUGCCAUGCUGCGAGGCUGCUCAUGCUGCAGUACUGCUGUGCUGCUUGUGUUGCAGUGCUGCUGUAUUACUGCACUGCAGUGCUGCUCUACUGCUGUGCUGCUGUAUUGCUGUGUUGCAGUGCUGCUCGUGCUGCAGUACUGCAGUGCUGCUCUGCUACUCUGCUGCUGUACUGCUAUGCUGCACUGGUGCAGUAUUGCCGUGCUGCAGUGCUGCAGUACUGCUGUACUACAGUGCUGCUGUGCUGCUCGUGCUGCAGUGCAGCUGUGCUGCUCUACUGCUGUGUUGGAGUGGUGCUCAUGCUGCUGUGCUGCAGUGUUGCUGUGCUGCUGUAUUACUGCACUGCAGUGCUGCUCUACUGCUGUGCUACUCGCGCUGCUGUGUUGUGGUGCUGCAGCGCUGCUCGUGCUGCAGUGCUUGCAGUGCAGCUGUGUUGCUGUGCUACUCGUGCCGCAGUAUUGCAGUGCUGCAGUGCUGCUCGUGCUGCUGUGAUGCAGUGCUGCUCUACUGCAGUGCUGCAGUGCUGCUCAUGCUGCAGUGUUGCAGUGCUGCAGCUCACCCUGCUCCAUCUCAUCCCCUCCACACAUCUCAGCUCAGCUCAGCCCCCGCAGC